rnacentral:rRNA from 1 species
CAGUAGCCGCGGGAAUACGUAGGUGUCAAGCGUUGUCCGGAAUUAUUGGGCGUAAAGGGCUCGCAGGCGGUUUCUUAAGUCUGAUGUGAAAGCCCCCGGCUCAACCGGGGAGGGUCAUUGGAAACUGGGAAACUUGAGUGCAGAAGAGGAGAGUGGAAUUCCACGUGUAGCGGUGAAAUGCGUAGAGAUGUGGAGGAACACCAGUGGCGAAGGCGACUCCCUGGUCUGUAACUGACGCUGAGGAGCGAAAGCGUGGGGAGCGAACAGGAUUAGAUACCCCCGUAGUCCCUGUCUCUUAUAC